rnacentral:lncRNA from 1 species
ACCUGGUUAGAGGAAGAUGAAUUGCUGGGGAUGGCCAAGGUUUCGGGAGCUGGGAUAGAGUUGCCUCUGGUGAAGGAGGUUUAGAUCAUGAAUGAGCACUGCCAAGCUAUCCUGAAGUGCAAAGGCAGCACUGGUUCCUAGGAAGACAGCAAAAAGACAGAGUUUCACAUUACAAGAGCUCCCACAGGGGGUGAGAAAAAUAAAGACAACAUCAAGAGUCUUUAUUUCAAGCUUGGACUGGUGGCUGGCUGUGAUGUCCUGGCUCUUAUGGAUAUGUAUGUGA